rnacentral:lncRNA from 1 species
CGGUUUUAUCUGGGUUGAAUGACAUAAGCCAUUUAGAAGACCAAACAUCCAGCUCUUUCAAGUCGCGAUCAAUAACAGAUCUAAUCUGUUCUCCAUCGUUACCAGAAUAGUUGAAUGAUGUGUCGUCAGCAAAUAGCCGACACAGUGAAGUAAGCUUAUCAGCAAUAUCAUUAAUAUAUAAGACAAAGAGAAGAGGGCCCAGAACUGAUCCCUGGGGG